rnacentral:rRNA from 1 species
CUACGGGAGGCAGCAGUGGGGAAUCUUGGACAAUGGGCGCAAGCCUGAUCCAGCCAUGCCGCGUGAGUGAUGAAGGCCCUAGGGUCGUAAAGCUCUUUCGCCAGAGAUGAUAAUGACAGUAUCUGGUAAAGAAACCCCGGCUAACUCCGUGCCAGCAGCCGCGGUAAUACGGAGGGGGUUAGCGUUGUUCGGAAUUACUGGGCGUAAAGCGCACGUAGGCGGACCAGAAAGUUGGGGGUGAAAUCCCGGGGCUCAACCCCGGAACUGCCUCCAAAACUCCUGGUCUAGAGUUCGAGAGAGGUGAGUGGAAUUCCGAGUGUAGAGGUGAAAUUCGUAGAUAUUCGGAGGAACACCAGUGGCGAAGGCGGCUCACUGGCUCGAUACUGACGCUGAGGUGCGAAAGUGUGGGGAGCAAACAGGAUUAGAUACCCUGGUAGUCCACACCGUAAACGAUGAAUGCCAGUCGUCGGGCAGUAUACUGUUCGGUGACACACCUAACGGAUUAAGCAUUCCGCCUGGGGAGUACGGUCGCAAGAUUAAAACUCAAAGGAAUUGACGG